UGAACGCUGGCGGAAUGCUUUACACAUGCAAGUCGAGCGGCAGCGCGGGGCAACCUGGCGGCGAGCGGCGAACGGGUGAGUAAUGCAUCGGAACGUACCCAUUUGUGGGGGAUAACUAUCCGAAAGGAUAGCUAAUACCGCAUAAGUCCUGAGGGAGAAAGCAGGGGAUCGCAAGACCUUGCGCGAAUGGAGCGGCCGAUGCCGGAUUAGCUAGUUGGUAGGGUAAAGGCCUACCAAGGCGACGAUCCGUAGCUGGUCUGAGAGGAUGAUCAGCCACACUGGAACUGAGACACGGUCCAGACUCCUACGGGAGGCAGCAGUGGGGAAUUUUGGACAAUGGGGGCAACCCUGAUCCAGCCAUUCCGCGUGAGUGAAGAAGGCCUCGGUUGUAAGACUCUUCGGCAGGACGAACGGUAGGGGCGUAAGUACCUCCGCGUAACUGACGGUACCGUCGAAGAAGAAGGCAACCGGCUAACUACGUAGCCAGCAGCCGCGG
rnacentral:rRNA from 1 species